CGGUGGAGCAUGUGGUUAAUUCGAAGCAACGCGAAGAACUUACCAGGCCUUGACAUGCAGAGAACUUUCCAGAGAUGGAUUGGUGCCUUCGGGAACUCUGACACAGGUGCUGCAUGGCUGUCGUCAGCUCGUGUCGUGAGAUGCUGGGUUAAGUCCCGUAACGAGCGCAACCCUUGUCCUUAGUUACCAGCACGUUAUGGUGGGCACUCUAAGGAGACUGCCGGUGACAAACCGGAGGAAGGUGGGGAUGACGUCAAGUCAUCAUGGCCCUUACGGCCUGGGCUACACACGUGCUACAAUGGUCGGUACAAAGGGUUGCCAAGCCGCGAGGUGGAGCUAAUCCCAUAAAACCGAUCGUAGUCCGGAUCGCAGUCUGCAACUCGACUGCGUGAAGUCGGAAUCGCUAGUAAUCGUGAAUCAGAAUGUCACGGUGAAUACGUUCCCGGGCCUU
rnacentral:rRNA from 1 species